GGUCCUAUGGUGUAAUGGUUAGCAUAUGAGACUCUGAAUCUCAGGAUCCCAGUUCGAGUCUGGGUAGGACCU